rnacentral:rRNA from 1 species
CGUGUAGGCGGCCUAUUAAGUCGGAAGUGAAAGCCCUCGGCUCAACCGAGGAACUGCUUUCGAAACUGGCAGGCUUGAGUGCGGGAGGGGAGAGCAGAAUUCCCGGUGUAGCGGUGAAAUGCGUAGAUAUCGGGAGGAAUACCGGUGGCGAAGGCGGCUCUCUGGACCGUUACUGACGCUGAGACGCGAAAGCGUGGGUAGCAAACA